ensembl:lncRNA
AUCCUAGUUUGAAGCUACACAGUUCUAUAAAGUCUUCCAAUUGUUGCUUUCCAGUUCUAUUUUCUGAUUUUAUUUUCACAUGAAAAGUUUGUCAGCAUAUUCCACUUAUUUACUCUUAAUUUAUGCACAAAAAUGUCUGGAAAGUUCCACCCAAAAUUGAAAAAGACAGGAAAACAAGAUGAGGAAAGAUGUUGCUUAUGUAUCGCUUGUGAGUCUCUGAAGCUAACCACCCACUCCAGCACUAUUCGGCACAUCAAAAAAGCUUGAGUUUCUGAUGGAAAGCCAAACAUUUCCUAUCCUUUUUUAUGGUCUCUCUCUCUCUCUCUGUCUCUCUCUCUCUCUCUCUCUCUCUUUCUCUCUCACUCUCUCUCUCUCUCUUGUCUUCUGCAGCUCUGUGACCAGCAUGGGAGGAAGCAUGAAGCAACACUGCAGUGAUCCUAUUCUCAAGAUGUUUGAAGGAAGCUCUGUGGUGUGGAGUGUUGCAAGCGGGAGCCCAUAAGAGCAGCCAUACUGACCUGCUGACCACAGAUCAGGACGUGCCAGUGCUCUGUGCUAUCUCAUUCACACUGAUUAUACCUCACACUGCCAUUAGAACAGCUGCCGGACUACUGACCGCUUGGAUAGAUACGUGUUUGUGUGUAUUCUGUCCAUUGAUUCCAGAUGCACACUGCUGCUAAAAUUGCUUGUCAGUCCACUUAAUGUGCUUAAAAGAAUAAUUCACCCAAAAAUUACAAUUUUCUGAAAAUGUGUUCACCCUCAGGCCAUCCAAGAUGUAGUUGUGUUUGUUUGCUUAAUAGAACAUAUUUGAAGAAAUUUAGCCUUCUAGAGUCCUCUAUUCAUUGCUUUCCCAGUCAAAAAGUUGUGUGAGAAAUAUGCACAGAUCAAGCAAUGAUACAAACAAAAAGAGACUGAAAGAUUAAACAAAUGUGUCUGUGGAUUUCGAUGUGAAAGGACAACAGGUGAUUAACUUUUUCAUUAGAAUGUUAAUGUUAAUAUGGAUUAUGGCCAUUUUGUCCAGAAGCGAUGGUUUAAAGUUAAAACGCCUGAGUGAUGGAUUUGUUUGUUAAAAACAUGUUUGGACUCUCAUUCUGAUGGCACCCAUUCACUGCAGAGGAUGAGCAAGUGAUGUAAUGCUAAAUUUCUCCAAAUCUGUUUUGAUGAAGAAACAAACUCAUCAAUAUCUUCGAUGGCCUGAGGUCAGUUUGAUUUAAUAUUAUUAUUUAAGUAAAUUAAUAGACUUAUUUAAUUGAUCAAAAGUGACGAUAAAUAUAUUUACAAUAUUACAUGUGACACUCAAGACUGGAGUAUAAUGGCUGCUGAAAAUUGAGCUUUUCUAUCAAAGGAAUAUGUUAUAUUUUAAAAUGCAUUCACAUAGAAAACAGUUAUUUUAAGUUGUAACAAUAUUUCACAGUAUUACCGUUUUCUACUGUAUUCUUCAUCACAUAAAUCAGCCUUUGUGAGCAUAAGAGACAUUUUUUCAAAAAUAAUAAAAUAUUAUUCAGACCCCA